rnacentral:rRNA from 1 species
GGUUAACGGAGCGAAAGCGACGUUCAACCUCAAAAGAAGCAGAGGGGGCUUAGUGGUGGGGUGACUGCGUACCUUUUGUAUAAUGGGUCAGCGACUUAUAUUCUGUAGCAAGGUUAACCGUAUAGGGGAGCCGGAGGGAAACCGAGUCUUAAUUGGGCGUUAAGUUGCAGGGUAUAGACCCGAAACCCGGUGAUCUAGCCAUGGGCAGGUUGAAGGUUGGGUAACACUAACUGGAGGACCGAACCGACUAAUGUUGAAAAAUUAGCGGAUGACCUGUGGCUGGGGGUGAAAGGCCAAUCAAACCGGGAGAUAGCUGGUUCUCCCCGAAAGCUAUUUAGGUAGCGCCUCGUGAAUUCAUCUCCGGGGGUAGAGCACUGUUUCGGCUAGGGGGCCAUCCCGGCUUACCAACCCGAUGCAAACUGCGAAUACCGGAGAAUGUUAUCACGGGAGACACACGGCGGGUGCUAACGUCCGUCGUGAAGAGGGAAACAACCCAGACCGCCAGCUAAGGUCCCAAAGUCAUGGUUAAGUGGGAAACGAUGUGGGAAGGCCCAGACAGCCAGGAUGUUGGCUUAGAAGCAGCCAUCAUUUAAAGAAAGCGUAAUAGCUCACUGGUCGAGUCGGCCUGCGCGGAAGAUGUAACGGGGCUAAACCAU